UAUAGUGAUGAAAGGGAUUUAGCCGAGUAGUGAGGAAGUGGAGCGACUCUGAGG
rnacentral:ncRNA from 19 species